rnacentral:misc_RNA from 1 species
GCGUAUGUGGUCUAGUGGUAUGAUGC